CCUACGGGUGGCAGCAGUAGGGAAUAUUGCUCAAUGGGGGCAACUCUGAAGCAGCAAUGCCGCGUGCAGGAUGAAGGCUCUAUGAUUUUUAACCUGUUUUUUUACAGAAGAUAAUGACGAUAUCUAUCUAAUACUCACCGGCUCACUCCGUUCCGGCAGCCGCGGUACCAUGGAAGGUGCAAGGGUUAUUCGGAAGCUCUGGGCGUAAAGCGUGCGUAGGCGGGUUAAUAAGUCAGAUGUGAAAUCCUGUAGCUUAACUACAGAACUGCAUUUGAAACUGUUACGCUGGAGUGUGGUAGAGGUAGGUGGAAUUCUUGGUGUAGGGGUAAAAUGCGUAGAGAUCAAGAAGAAUACUGAUUGCGAAGGCGACCUGCUGGAACAUGACUGACGCUGAGGCACGAAAGCGUGGGGAGCAAACAGGAUUAGAUACCCUGGUAGUC
rnacentral:rRNA from 1 species